rnacentral:snRNA from 1 species
UACCUUGAGCAGUGGGAAUAUCGUAACCAAUGAAGGUCUCCUGAGGAGCGAUUAUUGCUAGUUGAAACCUGGAGUAUUGAGUUCAGUUUUUUAAUGUUCUUUUUUUGAGUAGAAAUGUGCACAUAAACGCAAAAUUAUUCUUUUUGAAGA